rnacentral:rRNA from 1 species
GAUGAACGCUGGCGGCGUGCCUAAUACAUGCAAGUCGAGCGAACGGACGAGAAGCUUACUUCUCUGAUGUUAGCGGCGGACGGGUGAGUAACACGUGGAUAACCUACCUAUAAGACUGGGAUAACUUCGGGAAACCGGAGCUAAUACCGGAUAAUAUUUUGAACCGCAUGGUUCAAAAGUGAAAGACGGUCUUGCUGUCACUUAUAGAUGGAUCCGCGCUGCAUUAGCUAGUUGGUAAGGUAACGGCUUACCAAGGCAACGAUGCAUAGCCGACCUGAGAGGGUGAUCGGCCACACUGGAACUGAGACACGGUCCAGACUCCUACGGGAGGCAGCAGUAGGGAAUCUUCCGCAAUGGGCGAAAGCCUGACGGAGCAACGCCGCGUGAGUGAUGAAGGUCUUCGGAUCGUAAAACCCUGUUAUUAGGGAAGAACAUAUGUGUAAGUAACUGUGCACAUCUUGACGGUACCUAAUCAGAAAGCCACGGCUAACUACGUG